rnacentral:rRNA from 1 species
CCUACGGGGCGCAGCAGUGAGGAAUAUUGGUCAAUGGCCGGAAGGCUGAACCAGCCAUGCCGCGUGAAGGUCAGUGCCCUAUGGGCGUUAAACUUCUUUUGUGCGGGAGCAAUAAUGGUCACGUGUGGCCAGACGAGAGUACCGUACGCAUAAGCAUCGGCUAACUCCGUGCCAGCAGCCGCGGUAAUACGGGGGAUGCAAGAGUUAUCCGGAUUUCUUGGGUUUAAAGGGUGCGUAGGCUGUGAGGUAAGUCAGCGGUGAAAUGCCCCCGCUCGACGGGGUGAAGUGCCAUUGAUACUGCCUUGCUAGAAUGCGGAUGCCGUGGGAGGAAUGUGUGGUGUAGCGGUGAAAUGCAUAGAUAUCACACAGAACACCGAUUGCGAAGGCAUCUCACGAAUCCGCGAUUGACGCUGAUGCACGAAAGCGUGGGUAUCAAACAGGAUUAGAUACCCGUGUAGUC